UGUGCGCGCUCCCGCCGUAUAGACUCUGGGCUUUGCGUUGGCGCUGCUGAUGCUGACUAUACUGAGGAUGAUGAAGAAGAUGAUGAAGCUUUGAUUAGCGCUGCAGAAGAGGAGGAGAGUGAAGAUGAUGAGGAUGAUGAAGGAGCAGGUCAGAGAGUCAGGGUUGUUUUGGUCCACAUCAUGACAUCAUGACGUCAGGAGGAGGAGGAGGAGGAAGAGGAGACGUCCAACAACAACAGCAGAGAGGAAAAAAGACUCUUCAUGAACUGUUUUUAAACAUAAACACACACACAAACACAUUAUUGUAGAUUUUUAAACUGUAAUAUAUUCAUACAUGACACACACAGUCAAGUUCACUCCUGCCCACACAGACAAAAUACACACACACACUACAACAGUAGUGAGGACAUUCAUCACUCAUGGGUGAGUCUCAGUUCUAACUGUUAAAACCAGGUCAGAACUCAUUUUAAGGUGUAAACAGACUAAAUGUCCUCACUGAGGGUUUUUUUAGGCCCUAA